GACGAACGCUGGCGGCGUGCUUAACACAUGCAAGUCGAACGGAAAGGCCCUGCUUUUGUGGGGUGCUCGAGUGGCGAACGGGUGAGUAACACAUGAGUAACCUGCCCUUGACUUUGGGAUAACUUCAGGAAACUGGGGCUAAUACCGGAUAGGAGCUCCUGCUGCAUGGUGGGGGUUGGAAAGUUUCGGCGGUUGGGGAUGGACUCGCGGCUUAUCAGCUUGUUGGUGGGGUAGUGGCUUACCAAGGCUUUGACGGGUAGCCGGCCUGAGAGGGUGACCGGCCACAUUGGGACUGAGAUACGGCCCAGACUCCUACGGGAGGCAGCAGUGGGGAAUAUUGCACAAUGGGCGGAAGCUUGAUGCAGCAACGCCGCGUGCGGGAUGACGGCCUUCGGGUUGUAAACCGCUUUCGCCUGUGACGAAGCGUGAGUGACGGUAAUGGGUAAAGAAGCACCGGCUAACUACGUG
rnacentral:rRNA from 1 species